rnacentral:rRNA from 1 species
GACGAACGCUGGCGGCGUGCUUAACACAUGCACGUCGAACGAAGUGGCGAACGGGUGAGUAACGCGUAAUCAACCUGCCCUUCAGAGGGGGACAACAGUUGGAAACGACUGCUAAUACAGCAUACUGAAGGAGGGGAUUGCGGCUGAUUGGCUGGUUGGAGGGGAAACGGCCCACCAAGGCGAGGAUCAGUAGCCGGGUUGAGAGGAGGAACGGCCACAUUUGGACUGGGAAACGGCCCAGACUCCUACGGGAGGCAGCAGUGGGGAAUCAUCCGCAAUGGACGAAAGGCGGACGGAGCAACGCCGCGUGAGUGAUUACGGCCUUCGGGUUGUAAAGCUCUGUUAAUCGGGACGCGGUACCGGAAUAGAAAGCCACGGCUAACUACGUGCCAGCAGCCGCGGUAAUAC